AUUGUAAGGUGGCUGAAUCAUAGGCGGUGGGUUGUAAUUCCAUUUAUGGGGUUAGUCCCCUCUUUACA
rnacentral:tRNA from 2 species